rnacentral:tRNA from 1 species
CAGAGAGUAGUUUAAUAAAAAUAUUAAUUUUGGAGAUUAAUGAUGAAGGAGAGGUCCUCUCUGA